GCCCAGACUCCUACGGGAGGCAGCAGUGGGGAAUAUUGCACAAUGGGGGAAACCCUGAUGCAGCGACGCCGCGUGAGCGAUGAAGUAUUUCGGUAUGUAAGGCUCUAUCAGCAGGGAAGAAAAUGACGGUACCUGACUAAGAAGCCCCGGCUAACUACGUGCCAGCAGCCGCGGUAAUACGUAGGGGGCAAGCGUUAUCCGGAUUUACUGGGUGUAAAGGGAGCGUAGACGGCGGUGCAAGCCAGAUGUGAAAGCCCGGGGCUCAACCCCGGGACUGCAUUUGGAACUGUGCUGCUAGAGUGUCGGAGAGGCAGGCGGAAUUCCUAGUGUAGCGGUGAAAUGCGUAGAUAUUAGGAGGAACACCAGUGGCGAAGGCGGCUUACUGGACGGCAACUGACGCUGAGGCUCGAAAGCGUGGGGAGCAAACAGGAUUAGAUACCCUUGUACUG
rnacentral:rRNA from 1 species